rnacentral:rRNA from 1 species
UACGUAGGGGGCGAGCGUUGUCCGGAGUUACUGGGCGUAAAGCGCUUGUAGGCGGUCCACCAAGUUUGGGGUGACAGUUGCCGACUUAAUCGGCAAAGUGCCUCAAAGACUGGCGGACUUGAGGGCCACAGAGGGACAUGGAACUCCAGGUGUAGUGGUGAAAUGCGUAGAUAUCUGGAAGAACACCAAAGGCGAAGGCAGUGUCCUGGGUGGUCGCUGACGCUGAGAGGCGAAAGCCAGGGGAGCGAACGGGAUUAGAUGACCCUA